rnacentral:miRNA from 1 species
CCACGACCUUGGCGUUACUUC